GCGUCAUUGACUCAGUGGUAAGAGCACGCGUCUUGAGAUCUCGGGGACGUGGGGUCAAAUCCUCCUUGUCGCA
rnacentral:tRNA from 1 species